rnacentral:rRNA from 1 species
CAGCAGCCACGGGAAUACGGAGGGCGCGAGCGUUACCCGGAUUUACUGGGCGUAAAGGGCGUGUAGGCGGCCUGGGGCGUCCCAUGUGAAAGGCCACGGCUCAACCGUGGAGGAGCGUGGGAUACGCUCAGGCUAGAGGGUGGGAGAGGGUGGUGGAAUUCCCGGAGUAGCGGUGAAAUGCGCAGAUACCGGGAGGAGCGCCGAUGGCGAAGGCAGCCACCUGGUCCACUUCUGACGCUGAGGCGCGAAAGCGUGGGGAGCAAACCGGAUUAGAUACCCGGGUAGUCCCUGUCUCUUAUAC